rnacentral:tRNA from 1 species
UAGCCUAGUGGUUAAGGCUAUGGAUUGCCAAUCCGGAGACGGCGGGUUCGAUUCCCUU